AUCCCUUCUCGGCCUUUUGGUUAAGAUCAAGCAGUAGGGAUCUGUUGUUAUCAGUUUAACAUUUGAUAUGUCCUCUAUCAAGGACAGCAUGUUAAAUGGAUUUUUAGAGUAGGGAUAUGGUCUUGGAGCUCACUUUGUCCAUGCUGUACACCGACUAGUAUUGCACUUGCUUCCAGGCACAGUGCAGCUCAU